rnacentral:rRNA from 1 species
CAGUCGCCGCGGUAAUACGAAGGGGGCUAGCGUUGUUCGGAUUUACUGGGCGUAAAGGGCGCGUAGGCGGAUUUGUAAGUCAGGGGUGAAAUCCCGAGGCUCAACCUCGGAACUGCCUUUGAUACUGUGGAUCUUGAGUCCGGGAGAGGUGAGUGGAACUGCGAGUGUAGAGGUGAAAUUCGUAGAUAUUCGCAAGAACACCAGUGGCGAAGGCGGCUCACUGGCCCGGAACUGACGCUGAGGCGCGAAAGCGUGGGGAGCAAACAGGAUUAGAUACCCCGGUAGUCCCUGUCUCUUAUAC